rnacentral:rRNA from 1 species
UGGUAUAAGUUUAAUCGUUUAUCGAGAAACCGCGAACGGCUCAUUACAAUGGCCAUUAUUUACUUGAUCUUGAUUGUCUAAAUGGAUAACUGUGGAAAAGCUAGAGCUAAUACAUGCACUAAAGCUUUGUCCUUACGGAAAAGCGCAUUUAUUAGAACAAAACCACGCGGCUUCGGCUGCUUCUUGUUGACUCAGAAUAACUUAGCUGACCGCAUGGCCUUGUGCCGGCGGCGUGUCUUUCAAGCGUCCACUUUAUCAACUUGACGGGAGCAUAAUCGACUCCCGUGGUGGUGACGGAUAACGGAGGAUCAGGGUUCGACUCCGGAGAAGGGGCCUGAGAAAUGGCCACUACGUCUAAGGAUGGCAGCAGGCGCGCAAAUUACCCACUCUCGGCUCGAGGAGGUAGUGACGAGAAAUAACGAGACUGUUCUCUUUGAGGCCGGUCAUCGGAAUGGGUACAAUUUAAACCCUUUAACGAGUAUCAAGCAGAGGGCAAGUCUGGUGCCAGCAGCCGCGGUAAUUCCAGCUCUGCAAAUACAUAGAAUUAUUGCUGCGGUUAGAAAGCUCAUAGUUGGAUUCGUAUCGAUACCUUGGAACCCUUCGGGGUGUUAUCGAUUUAUCGUAAUGUUCGGUUUUGAGUCCUUAACAGGAUUCUUAACAGGCAUUGCAAGUUUACUUUGAACAAAUCAGAGUGCUUCAAACAGGCGUUUUCGCUUGAAUGAUCGUGCAUGGAAUAAUAGAAAAUGAUUUCGGUUCAGUUUUAUUGGUUUUACGGACUGAGAUAAUGGUUAACAGAGACAAACGGGGGCAUUUGUAUGGUCCCGUGAGAGGUGAAAUUCUUGGACCGUGGCCAGACAAACUACAGCGAAAGCAUUUGCCAAGAAUGUUUUUAUUAAUCAAGAACGAAAGUCAGAGGUUCGAAGGCGAUCAGAUACCGCCCUAGUUCUGACCGUAAACGAUGCCAACUAGCGAUCCGCCGAUGGAAAUUAUAUUGCCUUGGUGGGGAGCUUCCCGGAAACGAAAGUCUUCCGGUUCCGGGGGAAGUAUGGUUGCAAAGCUGAAACUUAAAGGAAUUGACGGAAGGGCACCACCAGGAGUGGAGCCUGCGGCUUAAUUUGACUCAACACGGGGAAACUCACCCGGCCCGGACACUGUGAGGAUUGACAGAUUGAUAGCUUUUUCAUGAUUCAGUGGAUGGUGGUGCAUGGCCGUUCUUAGUUCGUGGAGUGAUUUGUCUGGUUUAUUCCGAUAACGAGCGAGACUCUAACCUACUAAAUAGUUGGUACAUACUCUUAGUGUAUACAGCUUCUUAGAGGGAUUUGCGGCGUUCAGCCGAAAGAAAUUGAGCAAUAACAGGUCUGUGAUGCCCUUAGAUGUCCGGGGCUGCACGCGCGCUACACUGGCAAAAUCAACGUGCUUGUCCUACCCUGAAAGGGGCGGGUAAACCAUUGAAAAUUUGCCGUGAUUGGGAUCGGAAAUUGCAAUUAUUUUCCGUGAACGAGGAAUUCCAAGUAAGUGCGAGUCAUCAGCUCGCGUUGAUUACGUCCCUGCCCUUUGUACACACCGCCCGUCGCUGCCCGGGACUGAGCCAUUUCGAGAAAUUUGGGGACCGUUGAUUUAAUUUUUCUAAAUUACUUUGAUGGAAACCAA